rnacentral:lncRNA from 1 species
UUUACCCAAAAGUCAUUAAGGAGCAUGUUGUUUAAUUUCCAUGUAAUUGCAUGGUUUUGAGUGAUUCUCUUAGUCUUAGCAUCUGUUUCUUUGUGCUCUGGUCCCAGAGAGUGUUUGGUAUGAUUUCCAUUGUUUUGCAUUUGCUGAGGAUUGUUGUAUGUUCAAUUAUAUGGUCAAUUUUAGAGUAUGUGCCAUGUGGUGAUGAGAAUGCAUACUCUGUUUUUUUGGGUGGAGAGUUCUGUAGAGGUCCAUCAGAUCCAUUUGGUCCAGUGUUGAGUUCAUGUCCUGAAUAUCCUUGUUAAUUUUCUGCGUCAGUGAUCUGUCUAAUACUGUCAGUAGGACUCCCUUUAAUAUUUCUGGUAGGGCAGGCUUUCUAGCAUUUCUUUAGUUUGUGUUUAUCUGGGAAUGUCUUAAAUUCUUCUUCAGUUUUUCAAAAUAAGUUUGCUGGAUAUAAAAUCUUUGGUUGAUGAUUUUUUCUCCCAAGGACUUUGAAAAUGUCAUCCCACUGCCUUCUUGCCUACAUGGUUUCUGAUGAGAAAUCCACUGUUAAUCUUGUUGAGGAGCCCUUGCACGUAUUGAAUUACAUUUUUCUUGCUGCUUUCAAGAGGCUUUCUUUGUCUUUGUCUUUCAAUAGUUUGAUCAUGAUGUGUCUAAGUGUGGAUCUCUGAGUUUGUCCUACUUGGAGGUCAUUGAGCUCUUGAAUGCGUAAUGUUUUUCAUAAAAGUUUUGGAAGUUUUGGCCAUUGUUUCUUGAUGUAUUCUUCCUGUCUGUCUCUUGCUCUCUCUCUCUUCUCCUUCUGAGAUUCCCAUUAUGCAUAUGAUGAUAUGCUUAUGGAAUAAGACAGGUCUCUCAAGCUCCAUUUAUUUACUUUCAUUCUUUUUUCGUUUUAUUCCUCAGACUGGAUAACCUCAGUUGUCCCAUAUUCAAGUUUGCUGAUUCUUUCUGCUGCCUGCUCAAAUCUGCUGUUAAAUCUUUGGGCAGGAGGAUUGGGUUGCUCAAAUCUUACACAUUUCAAAGAAAUGUUUAUCUUCAGGCCUGGCCAUUGGCUGGCCCCUGGAAGGUAGCCUCUGAGCCCUUGGAAUAUUCUUCCUCAUAUGAGUUUCUGUAUGCCCGAAGCCCUGAACCAUGCUGUAUUUAUGGUAUUUAUUGUAAACACCUGUUUUUGUAUGAUUAAGCCCUUGGGCUACACUGUACCAGUUUGACUGGAUAAGUUUAUCCUAGAAAAGUGAUUUAUGAUGAAUGCCUGGUUUUGCUCUGUGGUGAAGACUGGAUGGAGUCUGAGUAGCUGAGGUCAUUCAUAUGGGCACUGCAUGCCUAUGUGACUGACCCCCAACAAAAACUCUUGAUACCAAGGCUUCGGUGAGCUUUCCUAGCAACACUUCACAUGUGUAGUCACACAUUCCUCCUGGAACAAUUAAGGACAUCCCUAUGUGACUCCACUGGGAAGGGUUACUUGGAAGUUUGAACUUGAUUUCUCCUGGACUUAAUCCAUGUAACUCCUCCCUCUGUCAACUGUGAUAUAUCCUUUUGCUGUAAUAAACUGUAACCAUGAAUAUGGCAGUGUCUGAGUUCUGUGAGUCUUUCUACUGAAUCAUUGAACCUGAGUAUGGUAUUGAAAAUUCCCAAUACAGCCCAUGUAGUGAAGUUUUCAUCUCAGUUAUUUUCCUGUUUAUUUCAGAAU